rnacentral:lncRNA from 1 species
GGGUACUACAGUGGAUGUGAGUGUGUAGACCUUGUACAAUAGAGCUUAUAGGCUAAUGAGAAGACAGGAAGAAACAACAGGAACACAUAUAGCUGGAAUGCAGAUGGGAUCUGUGCUACUUACGCUAGCCAUGGGAUGAUUAGAACAAGAUAAGAGACAUGAGGAAGACUUCUUCAAGGAGGUGCUCAAGCCAUGUUUUGGAAAAGAGAACUCAAGGUCUGGCAGGGAGAAAGGAGCAAGACUGCCUGGCAGCUCUUUAGAAAGUUGUGUGACGUAUGAACCAGUUCUUCCCUAUAUGAGAGUGUACCGUACAUCGCAGGCUGUCCAGCAUCGACCCCACUGAUGGAUGCUAGUAGUCCUCCCCGCCAGCACUCAACAUUGUGACAGUCAAAAACAUCCUCUCUACAUUUUCAAUGCCCCUGUUGGGGUAGCAGGACUCCCACUGAGAGACCCCAGUAGAGAUGGUCCCCAAGCAUGCUAACCAUGAAGCAGUGAUAUCGCACAGCACCUGCUUCCAGCAGCCCGGAGCCAAGGGGCAAAAUGGAAAGAGUCAGCAUUUCUCUUUUAGGUUCUCUGCCUCUCUAGUGUGGCAAGUAGAGCUGCAGCUGUCUGGCGCCACUGUAAUGCUGUCUCCUCCUCUGAGUGAGUUCAUCCUGGAAACAUUUUCUCCCAUAAGACAUGCACAGGUCUUACGUUUACAUGUUUCACUGAAAGAAAUUUGAUUCCACUGCUGGGAUGACAAGGAAGACUGAAGAAACCUAAUCCUAGGUGCUGCCACUGGGACAAACAAGAAGCACCAGACACAGUGCUGUUUUAGGGUGGGGCAGAAUUAUGCUGAGGGAAAAGUUAUUAUCACUCUUUAAGGCCAAGGAAACCACAAUUUUUAAAGAAGCUUCUAGAAAUUCUACCCAGUAGAAAAUAAAGAUAAACUUCUGUAAGGAAUUUCAUUCUUUUCAGAAUUCGCAAUCUGAAAUGUAGAAGCCCAUUCCUUCAUGGUUCUCAUAGAUAUUUAGUGUGACUGAGGGGUCAGUGGACUCAUAGCACUCAGGCCAGGCUUCUCCUGAGUCCCUUUCUUUGGCACAGAGGGAGUGAUUCACAGAUCCUCUACCCCCAAAGGCAUUGUUUCCUCAUCUCAACAAGAAUCCAGCACCCGUCAUUUUAUCAGCACACGUCACUAGCUUCUCAAGUGAGACUACUCUGAAGUGAUCUGUGUUUGAAGAAUGCCUUUCCCUUUCCCUUACGUAACUAAGAGGAUGAAAAAGGACACUCACUCCCUAUAUGAAAGCUGUGUAUUGUAAGCAGUCAUCUUGCCUGGCUGAGAACUCUAGGAUCUUUUUCUCUGCUCUCCUUUAGGCUGACACUCAUAGCCAGACCUUCUGUUUAUUAGCCCCCUGAAUCUAUUUGAAAAUAUUUUUGCUUUCAUUAUAAUAUAAGUCACAUUCUUCUUGCAUCUGCCGCUGCAUUUUCCAAAAGGGUUAUGUCAAGGGAAAUUCAACACUCACUUUUCUCAUUAUUUGCUUACCAGCUUGCUCACUCAUCAAAAUACCAGAGUUAUUUGAUACUUCAGAAGAUUAUUUCCCCCUUUAGAUGAUGUGUCAAGGGAAGGGGAGCUGGCCCCAGUAUCAGGUGACAGAAUUUUCUUCGCAUUUCUACUGUUGACUCAAUAAAUGCCCUUGGGCAAGUCAUGGAGCCUCUUCAUACUUUGGUCUCUAGGGAUAAAAUCUGCCAACCGCAGCAUGUGUAUUUGAACCUCAGUGUCCUCUGGAAUAAAAAUAGGAGGGGACCAGGUGUCCAUGUGACCCCAAGCUGAUGGGAAGAGGAUGACCAUAGGACUUCAAAAUGUCCUUGAGCUGUAAAUUCUGUAAUAGGGUCAGGCCCACCAGUGGCCUUCAGGCAUUUGUCCAGUGGUGUAUGGAUAAGUUCUAGCACUUGAGUUUUUUCAGCACAAAGGAGGCACUAUGUCAACCUCCCACCCAUGGGUAUUCUGUUUGCUCUGUGUCCCCGCUUCUCUGCAUUUCCCUGCCAUAUUACUCACCACUGGUCGUAAUUACUUGCUUGAUCACUUGUCUCCUGGUCUGUAAGCUGUUUGAGGGAGGGGAGCACAUCUGCCCUAUGCAACACUGUACCCUCAGUGUGGUACACAGGAGCACAUGCCUGACAUAUGGAAGUUAUGUGAGAAACAUUUGUGAAGUGGACAAAUUAAUAAUGCUGCCUGGACUCUAUAGAAAUCCCUUUUCUGCAUCAUUAAGGUUCCCAAGCCUGGCCAAGAAGUAGUGGGAUCUGAUUAGCCUCAUCUCCUCAUAACCCUACUUCCUAUAAUAUUAUAAUGAAAGCAGAUCUCAGCCCAAAUGCUGGCACACAUACAUAUUUAUCAGUAAGAAGAUCCAAAAUCGUUCAUGCAGCUGGUUCUGUAAGCUUGGCAAAUUUCCAGCCCUCUGAACUUUUCAGUGCUUUGUCCACACUCUACAUGAAAGGGCCUCUUAAGAGUGACAGGGCAGUAUUCUAAAGACCAGAUUUUAAUUGCACCAGGUAACUGAAUUGUCUGAAUUCACAGCUGAACACAGGACAAGGUCAGAAUCAUAUUUCUUAUGCCAUUUAGAAAGGUGACAAGUGAAGGGCUGGCCAAAAUCUUACACCCAGCUUACGUAAGAGUAGAGACUGUCCCUAAUGCUUUCCCCAGUCCACUUGUCUCGAACACCAUUAGGUUCAAUAGUAAAAGCCCAUUUCUCACUUGCUUCAUGUUAAUUGACUGAUCACUAAUUUUACCAAUAAGAAGCCAUUUUUAUUA